GAUGAACGCUGGCGGCGUGCUUAACACAUGCAAGUCGAGCGAUGAAGUUUCCUUCGGGAAGCGGAUUAGCGGCGGACGGGUGAGUAACACGUGGGUAACCUGCCUCAUCGAGUGGAAUAGCCUUCCGAAAGCAAGAUUAAUACCGCAUAACGUUUAAAGAGUGCAUCAUAAUUCAACCAAAGGAGUAAUCCGGUAUGAGAUGGACCCGCGGCGCAUUAGCUAGUUGGUGGGGUAACGGCCUACCAAGGCGACGAUGCGUAGCCGACCUGAGAGGGUGAUCGGCCACAUUGGGACUGAGACACGGCCCAGACUCCUACGGGAGGCAGCAGUGGGGAAUAUUGCACAAGGGGGGGAACCCUGAUGCAGCAACGCCGCGUGAGUGAUGAAGGUUUUCGGAUCGUAAAGCUCUGUCUUUGGGGAAGAUAAUGACGGUACCCAAGGAGGAAGCCACGGCUAACUACGUGCCAGCAGCCGCAGUAACAC
rnacentral:rRNA from 1 species